rnacentral:rRNA from 1 species
UGGGGAAUUUUCCGCAAUGGGCGAAAGCCUGACGGAGCAACGCCGCGUGAGGGAUGAAGGCCUCUGGGCUGUAAACCUCUUUUAUCAAGGAAGAAGAUCUGACGGUACUUGAUGAAUAAGCCACGGCUAAUUCCGUGCCAGCAGCCGCGGUAAUACGGGAGUGGCAAGCGUUAUCCGGAAUUAUUGGGCGUAAAGCGUCCGCAGGCGGCCCUUCAAGUCUGCUGUUAAAAAGUGGAGCUUAACUCCAUCAUGGCAGUGGAAACUGAGGGGCUUGAGUGUGGUAGGGGCAGAGGGAAUUCCCGGUGUAGCGGUGAAAUGCGUAGAUAUCGGGAAGAACACCAGUGGCGAAGGCGCUCUGCUGGGCCAUCACUGACGCUCAUGGACGAAAGCCAGGGGAGCGAAAGGGAUUAGAUACCCCUGUAGUC